rnacentral:misc_RNA from 1 species
GAAAUGCGAUAACUAGUGUGAAUUGCAGAAUUCCGUGAAUCAUCGAGUCUUUGAACGCACAUUGCGCCCCCUGGUAUUCCGGGGGGCAUGCCUGUCCGAGCGUCAUUGCUGCCCAUCAAGCACGGCUUGUGUGUUGGGUCGUCGUCCCCUCUCCGGGGGGACGGGCCCCAAAGGCAGCGGCGGCACCGCGUCCGAUCCUCGAGCGUAUGGGGCUUUGUCACCCGCUCUGUAGGCCCGGCCGGCGCUUGCCGAACGCAAAUCAAUCUUUUUCCAGGUUGACCUCGGAUCAGGUAGGGAUACCCGCUGAACUUAAGC